AAGGUUUGAAAUCACCUGUCUGAUUUUGAAUAAGCGUAUUUCCCCAGAGUGAACUAAAGAAUUGCUGUGUGUAGUCUUUGCCCAUCCCCUGUGAUGGGCUUUUUUUUGC
rfam:Erwinia tasmaniensis strain ET1/99 complete chromosome.